ACGGGAGGCAGCAGUGGGGAAUAUUGCACAAUGGGGGAAACCCUGAUGCAGCGACGCCGCGUGAGUGAAGAAGUAUUUCGGUAUGUGAAGCUCUAUCAGCAAGGAAGAAAAUGACGGUACUUGACUAAGAAGCCCCGGCUAACUACGUGCCAGCAGCCGCGGUAAUACGUAGGGGGCAAGCGUUAUCCGGAUUUACUGGGUGUAAAGGGAGCGUAGACGGCAUAGCAAGUCUGAAGUGAAAUGCAUGGGCUCAACCCAUGAACUGCUUUGGAAACUGUUAAGCUAGAGUGCAGGAGAGGUAAGUGGAAUUCCUAGUGUAGCGGUGAAAUGCGUAGAUAUUAGGAGGAACACCAGAGGCGAAGGCGGCUUACUGGACUGUAACUGACGUUGAGGCUCGAAAGCGUGGGGAGCAAACAGGAUUAGAUACCCUGGUA
rnacentral:rRNA from 1 species